rnacentral:rRNA from 1 species
CGCGUAGGCGGCCAUGCAAGUCUGGAGUGGAAGUCCACUUUUCAAGGGUGGAAUUGCUUUGGAAACUGCGUGGCUGGAGUGCAGGAGAGGUUAUCGGAAUUCCCGGUGUAGCGGUGAAAUGCGUAGAGAUCGGGAGGAACACCAGUGGCGAAGGCGGGUAACUGGACUGCAACUGACGCUGAGGCGCGAAAGUGUGGGGAGCAAACAG